AAACCAGCACCUCAAGUUGUCAGGAUGAUUAUUGGGCCUAAAGCAUCCGUAGCCUGUUCUAUAAGUUUCCGGUUAAAUCCAUUAGCUCAACUAAUGGGCCGCCGAAAAUACUGUAGAACUAGGGAGUGGGAGAGGUAGACGGUAUUCGGUAGGAAGGGGUAAAAUCCUUUGAUCUAUUGAGGACCACCUGUGGCGAAGGCGGUCUACCAGAACACGUUCGACGGUGAGGGAUGAAAGCUGGGGGAGCAAACCGGAUUAGAAACCCGGGUAGUCC
rnacentral:rRNA from 1 species